GGACCUCUAGGGUUUUCCAGCUUCAGCCUCAAUCAGAAGUUCAAGGCCAUGUACAAAAUCACUGCCCAGUGACACGUCGUGUUCUGCUUGAAUUCCUCCGGGGACAUGGGGCUUACAGCCCUCUGACAGACCUGCUCUUUGAACCUUGCCCCAGGAAAAAACAUGAAAAGAAGUGAGGAUCUUUAAGCUGGAAAACAGAAAUUCCUGGGACCCUAAGGCACCCACUGUCUGGGAAGCAGGUUUGGGAGCAACAUGACAAGAACUUUAACAUGAGACUGAACUCAUUUCAGCUUGGCCCACUCUUGAAUUCUCCGUAGAUCAAAGCAGCUUAACCAAGAAUGUCAGAAAGCAAGCAUUUUCUGAAUUAACAAGAACCACCACCACAAUCUUUCAAGAAGAAGAAGAAGAAGAAGAAGGAGGAGGAGGAGGAGGAGGAGGAGGAAGAACACCAGAGGAAAUAUAAAAGAGAUUUCAACCAGACGACUCUCACCUAAAAAGUUCUUGUAAAAAUAGGUAGAUCGUGUAUCUGUCCCACAUUGCCUGGGUCUCUAAAGCCCAGAUAACAAAAAUCAGUUCAAAUCCUUUUUUUUUUUCUUCUUCUAAAAUAAGAAUUUAUGGAAUGCUGUUGCCUUUUAGAGGCUGGGAAAGUGGGAAACACCGUGAAGCUGAGCUUUGGCGUGAUAACCACCGCCACCGCCGGGUGUCACACACCAAGGCGAGGCGCUGUGCCAACCGCGGCAGACACGUUACUUAAUUUCACCCCCUUGGAGCCCUGUGAAACAGAUAUCAUCGUCCCAUUUCGCAGGCCCCAGAGAACGUAUUUCAUGACCCAGGAGUCAAACUCGAUUCUUUCAAACUGCAAAGUCUUGACGCUUAGCCCCUGCACUCCCCCUGCCUCAUGCUGUAUUUCAGGUACCCGCCAGAUCCAUUACCAUUCACUCCCAUCGCCUUUAGCAAGACUCCCAGAAUCAUUCCCAGCUCAGCUAAGGGCAGAAAACACAGAACUCGUGGAGUGCUUGUCGCUUAAUGUCUUGAAGGCAAUACCAGUGCGAUCUAGAUCAGGACUUCUCAACCUCAACAUUACGCAUGCUUUGCCUGGAAUAAUUCUUGGUGGUGGUGGGGGGGGGGCUGUCCUGUGUGUGGUACGAUGCUUAGUAGCAUCUCUGUCCUCUGCCCACUAGAAUCCAGCAACAUCCCUUCCCGCCACCCGUCGUGGCAACAAGAGUAUCUCCGGACAGGGCCAAGUGUCCACUGGGUGGAAGACACUGCCCUCAUUUGGAACCACCCAUCUAGACAUCCAGACCGUCAGCGGGGACUCAACACCUCAUCCCUGCCCCACCAACUUUGCUCUCUAUGCUUUGCGUACUCCUACCUUGAAGCAACAGACCUGGCAAUCCCACAGCAGGAUGGGCAGGAAGAGAGUGGCUGUGAAGAACUCAGUAACAGGUGAUCUCUAGAAGUCAGGUAGGUUGGCAGCUGGCAUCGGGUUUCCGGAUUUUUCCACAUAGGCCAGUAU